AGCGGAAAAAGGGACUUGACCCCUCACCUCAGCCUUAA
rnacentral:tRNA from 1 species